AGUCUCCUGGAGCUCAGUCUGUUGUUCCAGGACAGACUGUCUCUCUCAGAUGUAAAGCCAGUUCAAGUAUGAGUAACUACCUUCACUGGUACCUUCAGAAACCUGGAGAAUCUGCUGAACUUUUGAUUAGUUAUGCUACAACCCGUCAGUCUGGAGUUUCAGAUCGUUUCAGUGGGAGUCAGUCUGGAACUGACUUCACUUUGACCAUCAGUGGAGUCCAGACUGAAGAUGCGGGAGUUUAUUACUGUCACCAGGGUGGUCACAGCUUCCCAUUCAUACAGUGAUACAACAUCGUACAAAAUCUUCCCUCAGCUGGAGAGGAACUGAUCUGAAUCACCAGCUGCACAGAAACCAUAACACUAGAUAUUUCAAAAACAUAACCAUACUGUAAUGUAAUGUAUGUAAAUGUACUUUAAUUAGAAUGAAACUCAUGCAGUUAAAAGUUGUAAAGUUACAUUUUACUGAAACACACUGAGAGGUUACAAUAAUAAGAAAUGUCAUUUUGUAAGUUUUCCUUUGUUUUGCAAGCUGAAGAUCUAUACAAAGAGGACAAAGUGAUAAAAUAGCCAUCAAAAGGGGCUGAAGAACUCUGUACUAACCAAUCACAGUACGAGAAAACGGACAGUAGGUGAGACCGGUGGACAAAAAUGGACAUUGGUACACAAUGAUUGUCUGGACAGAUACAAAACAGAUCCAAAUGGACUGAGCUGGAGGGGGCGGGACGGACGCUAGUGACAGGAAACAACUGGGACACACACACACUGGCUCCAGAUGGUUCGGUGACCCCAGUGCUGGAAGGAAUGCGUUCGCUACGAGAAGAACUUGCAGAGAACUCUGAAGUGGACACUAAUAUGUUUGACUGGUCUGAUUCUGUAUUUGCUAAAUAAAAAGCCUUAGUGAUGCCCAUA